GGAUUCUUCGGAAUUAGUGGCAGACGGGUGAGUAACGCGUGGGAAGCUACCUUGUGGUAGGGAACAACAGUUGGAAACGACUGCUAAUACCCUAUGAGCCCUAUGGGGGAAAGAUUUAUCGCCAUGAGAUGUGCCCGCGUUAGAUUAGCUAGUUGGUAAGGUAAUGGCUUACCAAGGCGACGAUCUAUAGCUGGUCUGAGAGGAUGAUCAGCCACACUGGGACUGAGACACGGCCCAGACUCCUACGGGAGGCAGCAGUGGGGAAUAUUGGACAAUGGGGGCAACCCUGAUCCAGCCAUGCCGCGUGAGUGAUGACGGCCUUAGGGUUGUAAAGCUCUUUCAGCAGUGAAGAUAAUGACAUUAACUGCAGAAGAAGCCCCGGCUAACUUCGUGCCAGCAGCCGCGGUAAUACGAAGGGGGCUAGCGUUGUUCGGAAUCACUGGGCGUAAAGCGUACGUAGGCGGACUGAUCAGUCAGGGGUGAAAUCCCGGGGCUCAACCCCGGAACUGCCUUUGAUACUGUCAGUCUUGAGAUCGAGAGAGGUGAGUGGAACUCCGAGUGUAGAGGUGAAAUUCGUAGAUAUUCGGAAGAACACCAGUGGCGAAGGCGGCUCACUGGCUCGAUACUGACGCUGAGGUAC
rnacentral:rRNA from 1 species